AACUUUCUGCAACGUAUCUCUUGGCUCUCGCGUCGAUUAAGAACGCAGCGAAAUGCGAUACGUAAUGUGAAUUGCAGAAUUCAGUGAAUCAUCGAAUCUUUGAACGCACCUUGCGCCCCUUGGUAUUCCGAGGGGCACACCCGUUUGAGUGUCGUGAAUACUCUCAACCUUCUUGGUUUCUUUGACCACGAAGGCUUGGACUUUGGAGGUUUUUCUUGCUGGCCUCUUUAGAAGCCAGCUCCUCCUAAAUGAAUGGGUGGGGUCCGCUUUGCUGAUCCUCGACGUGAUAAGCAUUUCUUCUACGUCUCAGUGUCAGCUCGGAACCCGCUUUCCAACCGUCUUUGGACAAAGACAAUGUUCGAGUUGCGACUCGACCUUACAAACCUUGACCUCAAAUCGGGUGAGACUACCCGCUGAACUUAAGCAUAUCAAUAAGCGGAGGCU
rnacentral:misc_RNA from 1 species